AACGUAGGGGACAAGCGUUAUCCGGAUUUACUGGGCGUAAAGCGCACGUAGGCGGAUUGACAAGUUGGACGUGAAAGCUCCUGGCUUAACUGGGAGAGGCCGUUCAAAACUGUCAAACUAGAGUUAGGAAGAGGAGCGUGGAAUUCCCGGUGUAGUGGUGGAAUGCGUAGAUAUCGGGAAGAACACCCGUGGCUAAGGCGGCUCUCUAGUACGGUACUGACGCUGAGACGCGAAAGCGUGGGGAGCGAACAGG
rnacentral:rRNA from 1 species